AGUCCAUGUUGUGGGCAUUUUCUAAGUAGUCCCUUAAACCUCUCCCAUGCUUCAUAUAGGGACUCAUUAUCCUUCUGAGGAUAACGAGAAAUAUUAGCCUUCAACUU